rnacentral:tRNA from 23 species
GCCGGGGUGAUGAAAUUGGUAAACAUAGCGGACUUAAAAUCCGCCGCUUCACGGCUUGCCGGUUCGAGUCCGGUCCCCGGCACCA